UUCUGAACCAGAAUAAAUGAAAGGAAAAUAAAAUGCCAAAUGCCAUCCUUCUGCAAGGUUUUCAACAGGCUACACCAAACGUGUGUGCUUCCACAAACUACAACAUGCUUGCAGGAGCAGCUGUACUGAAAUGUUGACAUUGUAAUCCAGGGCACUUGUUGAGAAGGAGAAUGCUGUUCCUUGCUGUGCUGCCUUCCCACGCUGCAGCUGUAGGGAACCCAGAACCGCGUUUGCGACACGGAUGCUGCUGGAAUCACCGCGGAGGGAGCCAGAGACAAAGCCCGGAUUGGCAGCACAGAGGCUGAAUGCAGAUGUCCUUCUUUUUCUGCUUCCCUGGUACAUCACCAGAGACAGCACAUCACUACUGGUAAACUGCUUAAAAGGAAGCAAGCACCAUUUUUUAUGUCGUAUAAAUAUCUAUCUACACAUUUUCCAAAAAGGAUGGAGGUGCUGGGAUGCCUACGUGAUUUAUGCACUGUAUGAAAGUAGCACAAACAUGAUCAUUUACAACAGGCUUUAUUGACCAUCUGAAGGGGAAAGAUACCAAAUAUGGUUAACAGCAACUGUUAAGUGAAAUAAGUUAUAUUUCAUCUAUGUAAACAAAGUAAUGAUCAUGUCUGUCACAAGAUUUCAAGAGAUUUAUCUUCCAGGCUCCCUAAUAUGGUUACAUCUGUCUCCUGCUUAAAUCCUAUGUUCUUGCCAUCUGCUCCUAUGCACUUCUUUUCACCCUCAAGCAGUGAUUAAACAACUAUCUGGGAAAGAAAAAAAGUACUUUUCCAUUUUUGAGCCAAUGUUUAACAGCUGGAAAAAAACUGGAAAACCAAACCCACAAACCCUUUGGCUCUCAAUUGCUUUCCCUGGUUGGGAAUGUUACUAGUGAGAUGCUCAGCUGAAGCUUCCAGGAAUCUUUACAUCUCACUGUACAACAGGAAAUGCUGCACCUAUAGAUUCAAAUAGCUUUGUUAUGGAGUGUAAGAAAUUUGGAGCAGAUUGAACCACCAUUCAGUUAAUCAGUCAAAUUGUCAUUGGGAGGUAAUGUUAUAUAGGGAGAUCAGGAAGCAUUUUGCUUUGUAAAGAAGGAAACUUCCUAGAAUUCUUUAUUUGCACUGUGGGAAGCCUUGAUAGCUGUGUUCCUUUGAGAUGUGCUUUGUACUUACCUCUCCUUGUCCAAACAUGGAGGAGCAGGAAGGACAGAGCCCCAGCUCGCUCUCUUUUCUGUGUGAGGAGAACCAAAGAAGAGCAAUUCCACAGAUCCUGUGCUUCUGCCUUCUGGGCAAGACUGCAGCCUGAUGCUCCUCAUGUGGGCACAUUAAUUAGGGGAGCACCUUACAUCCAUCACCCUCUGUAGCCACAGAAUGGUCAGUCAUAAUCCAUCUCUUAGUGUUUAUUCGGAGCCUUGAAAUCCUUGAAAUGUAUUAGAGAUGCACUGAGGAUCUUGCUACAGGAGAGGCUUGAUGCAAUGACAAUACUGUCAUUUAAAAAAACUGCCUCAUCCCUUCUCUAGGAGUUUUGUCAAACUUUAUUUUAUUUUCUUGGGCUGUUGCUUUCUCCUAUGUAGAAGAAAUUAUGGAUAUCACCUAAUCAUUCCCUUGAGCUUCAUAGGAAGUAACUGGACUUGGUACCUCUGCUUUUCAGUCUUUGCUCCUUUGGCUGCUUUACUUUGCUGCUUCUGUCCCCUACCAUUAUAAUUGUUACUGCUUGCAAAGAUGGGAAACCAGAAUUGUUUGUACUGUUUGUAAAACACUGUGAAGUAUUUUCAGAAAUAAUGCAUAACAAGGCAAAUUUACCAUGGCUUUUUUAUCUUCAGGUAAUAAUCCUUGUCUGAAAAUCUAGGCCUAUCAUUUCUACUGGUAUAAAUAGGUGCAGCUCCACUAAAGGCCUUGCCUUUAAUGUACUGGGGGGGUUUGCUGUGAAGGAUACAGAGGGUCAGGCAGUUCAGCUUUAGAUUUAAUAAACACCAUUGCUUAAAUUAC